rnacentral:rRNA from 1 species
UACGUAGGGGCUAGCGUUGUCCGGAAUCAUUGGGCGUAAAGCGCGUGUAGGCGGUCCGGUAAGUCCGCUGUGAAAGUCGAGGGCUCAACCCUCGAAUGCCGGUGGAUACUGUCGGGCUAGAGUCCGGAAGAGGAGAGUGGAAUUCCUGGUGUAGCGGUGAAAUGCGCAGAUAUCAGGAAGAACACCCGUGGCGAAGGCGGCUCUCUGGGACGGUACUGACGCUGAGACGCGAAAGCGUGGGGAGCGAACAGG